rnacentral:lncRNA from 1 species
AUGUACGUGCUUGUGCUUGAGUGUUUGUGUGAGCAGCCAUCUGUGCAAUCAGUUUACUUUCAUUACAUGAUGUUUACAUUACACAAGUCAAUUGUCUUGGUCAGCAUCAUUAUUCUUGAAUGGUCAAACAACAUUGUACAAACAAGUUUGUGUUGGACAGGACUAAGCAGGAUGACCAUGCGUGGAGCGGUGACGGGCUGUGUGGUGCUGGUGUGUCUGGUGGCCAUGCUGCAUGAACGGGCAGAGGGACACUUCUCCUUCUUCAGCCCCAAAGAGAUGAGGGAGUUGAAGGCCCUACAGGAUAAGUUGGGGAAGAAGGACAUAGAGCCUCGGUCAGAGGAUGGACAGUUUCAGGAUGUCACCAUCCAACAGCUUCCUGAGGACGAUGGUGGAACUCCUGGGAAGACAGUGGAGAUAAGUGUUCGACUGACAGCCAAACAGCUGGAGCAUGUGGCCCCCGUGCUGGAAGACAUCAUCCAUGAAAUGGUGGAGCAGGCAGAGAAGAAAGACAAAUGA